rnacentral:rRNA from 1 species
UGCAAGGCAAUGUGGUGUGUUUAGAUCAGUUUUGGACAACUCUGCUUCAUCCUAAGUCCAUCAAUGAGUACGGCUAAUGGACCGGCCCAAAGAGGGUGAAAGGCCCGUGUGGAUGAAGGUCAAGUGUGACGGAGUUGGCGUAAACUGAUUUUGGAGUCGGGUUGUUUGUGAAUGCAGCCCAAAGUGGGUGGUAGACUCCAUCCAAGGCUAAAUACUGGCACGAAUCCGAUAGCAAACAAGUACCGUGAGGGAAAGUUGAAAAGUACUUUGAAGAGAGAGUAAACAGUGCGUGAAACCGCUCAGAGGUAAACGGGUGGAGUUGAACUGGAAUCCUCGAGAAUUUAACUGAUGAGUAUGGCAUGCGCUUGAGCAUGUUGGCCAGCAUCAAGAGUUUGCUUAAUUGCAGGCCUCGACUUUUCGGAGUUGGGGUACACGUUGCACUUGUCAAGUGUUGUGUGCUACUUUGCUUGCAUUGGGCUUGCUUGUCAGUGCAUUUUCUCGGGGUGAUCACCACGACCGGCGUAGUUGUCUGUUUACUGCAGUUAAACCGAUCAGACUUGGUCAUGUGACUGGGUUCGGUCGGGAUGGCAGGUAGCUUGUUUGCUCAUUUGAGUUUACAAGUGUUAUCAGCUGACUGUAGUAAAGUUGUGCAAUAUGCCGGAGAUGACGGCUUUGCUUACGCUGUUUGGCAAACCANGUUGUGUUUGAUUGGCAUGUACUUGUUUAGGCAAGUCUGUCAGUAGCACGAUGGGAUUUGGUUGGCAGUAGUAUGCAACGUGCUUUGAGCCUAUAGUCUGUGGUGUAGUGGUAGACGAUCCACCCGACCCGUC